rnacentral:rRNA from 1 species
GAUGAACGCUGGCGGCGUGCCUAAUACAUGCAAGUCGAGCGAACAGAUGAGGAGCUUGCUCCUCUGACGUUAGCGGCGGACGGGUGAGUAACACGUGGAUAACCUACCUAUAAGACUGGGAUAACUUCGGGAAACCGGAGCUAAUACCGGAUAAUAUAUUGAACCGCAUGGUUCAAUAGUGAAAGACGGUUUUGCUGUCACUUAUAGAUGGAUCCGCGCCGCAUUAGCUAGUUGGUAAGGUAACGGCUUACCAAGGCAACGAUGCAUAGCCGACCUGAGAGGGUGAUCGGCCACACUGGAACUGAGACACGGUCCAGACUCCUACGGGAGGCAGCAGUAGGGAAUCUUCCGCAAUGGGCGAAAGCUUGACGGAGCAACGCCGCGUGAGUGAUGAAGGUCUUCGGAUCGUAAAACUCUGUUAUUAGGGAAGAACAAAUGUGUAAGUAACUAUGCACGUCUUGACGGUACCUAAUCAGAAAGCCACGGCUAACUACGUG